rnacentral:rRNA from 1 species
AUUGAACGCUGGCGGCAUGCCUUACACAUGCAAGUCGAACGGCAGCACGGGUGCUUGCACCUGGUGGCGAGUGGCGAACGGGUGAGUAAUACAUCGGAACGUACCUUAUCGUGGGGGAUAACGCAGCGAAAGCUGUGCUAAUACCGCAUACGCCCUGAGGGGGAAAGCGGGGGAUCGCAAGACCCCGCGCGAUUAGAGCGGCCGAUGCCUGAUUAGCUUGUUGGUGGGGUAAAAGCCCCCCAAGGCGACGAUCAGUAGCUGGUCUGAGAGGACGAUCAGCCACACUGGGACUGAGACACGGCCCAGACUCCUACGGGAGGCAGCAGUGGGGAAUUUUGGACAAUGGGGGCAACCCUGAUCCAGCAAUGCCGCGUGAGUGAAGAAGGCCUUCGGGUUGUAAAGCUCUUUUGUCAGGGAAGAAACACCGGCUCUAACACAGUCUGGGAAUGACGGUACCUGAAGAAUAAGCACCGGCUAACUACGUGCCAGCAGCCGCCGUAA